UUGGUUGUUGUCAACGCACUUCCAAAUUUUAUUUUUUGAGGCCAACAAAACGAUUUUUUGACCAGUUUCGGUGAUUGAUUGACCAGUUUCGGUGAAUUAUAAAGCGGACAGUUUACUCAAUCAUUGCAAUGAACAAAAAUCAAAAUGAAGCGAAGGAUUUCAAGGACCGCAGGUUCUGUUUGGUCGGCAUUAAUUCAAGUCCCUGGAGGGCAAGUUCCAACCCUCUUCAACGAUGCUGGAUAGGAAUUGAGCUGGAAUAUUUCAAAGCUGGUCCGAACCAGGACGAUGCCUCCAAAAAUCGACUCGUCACCAGAGUUUCAGGGUUGUUUAUAAUUCUCCGGCGCGCCUCCUAUCAAACGUCGCAAAUAUUACGAAACAUUCAUGCAGUAUCGAGAAAUUAAAAAUGAGUGUGUGUGUGUGCGACAUGGAGUUAAACUUUUCAAAGUGCCAUGGUAAUCUUCACAGAAAGUUUAACUCCAUGUUGCACACACUCUCACUUUUAAUUUCCCGAAUCGAUUUAAUAAAACCGAAACA